AACACAUGCAAGUCGAACGGAGUUAUAAAUAGAAGGCAGCGGGUUUACCUAAAGCCGGAAAUGGAUAACUUAGUGGCGGACGGGUGAGUAACGCGUGGGUAACCUGCCUUAACCAGGGGGAUAACACUUAGAAAUAGGUGCUAAUACCGCAUAAGCGCACGAGGCCACAUGGUCAAGUGUGAAAAGGAGAAGGAAACAACUCCGGGAAAAGAUGGACCCGCGUCUGAUUAGCUAGUUGGUGAGGUAAUGGCUCACCAAGGCGACGAUCAGUAGCCGGCCUGAGAGGGUGACCGGCCACAUUGGGACUGAGACACGGCCCAAACUCCUACGGGAGGCAGCAGUGGGGAAUAUUGCACAAUGGGGGAAACCCUGAUGCAGCGACGCCGCGUGAGUGAAGAAGUAUUUCGGUACGUAAAGCUCUAUCAGCAGGAAAGAAGAGUAGUGUGUAAGCACUAUAGACGGUACCUGACUAAGAAGCCCCGGCUAACUACGUGCCAGCAGCCGCGGUAAUACGUAGGGGGCAAGCGUUAUCCGGAUUUACUGGGUGUAAAGGGAGCGUAGACGGCAGGAUAAGUCUGAAGUGAAACCUCAUGGCUCAACCAAGAGAUUGCUUUGGAAACUAUCAAGCUGGAGUGCAGGAGAGGUAAGAGGAAUUCCUAGUGUAGCGGUGAAAUGCGUAGAUAUUAGGAGGAACACCAGUGGCGAAGGCGUCUUACUGGACUGUCACUGACGUUGAGGCUCGAAAGCGUGGGGAGCAAACAGGAUUAGAUACCCUGGUAGUCCACGCGGUAAACGAUGAUUACUAGGUGUCUGGGAUGAAUAAAUCUCAGGUGCCGCAGCAAACGCAAUAAGUAAUCCACCUGGGGAGUACGUUCGCAAGAAUGAAACUCAAAGGAAUUGACGG
rnacentral:rRNA from 1 species